rnacentral:rRNA from 1 species
UCCACGCCGUAAACGAUGUCAACUAGCCGUUGGGGAACUUGAUUCCUUAGUGGCGCAGCUAACGCACUAAGUUGACCGCCUGGGGAGUACGGCCGCAAGGUUAAAACUCAAAUGAAUUGACGGGGGCCCCGCACAAGCGGUGGAGCAUGUGGUUUAAUUCGAUGCAACGCGAAGAACCUUACCAGGUCUUGACAUCCUGAGAAUCCUGUAGAGAUACGGGAGUGCCUUCGGGA